UCUGUUUUUGUUCUUCAGCUCCUUUCUCUUCCAUUGAGGAUUGCUGCGCAUUCUGAGCCAGUCACUUAAAAUCUACCAAUCUGUGAAUUCCAAAUCAUCCUGCCUCAGGUCAAAGUGCAGAGCAGCUUGUUUUAUAUCUCUCCCUCCCCAGACAUAUGCUGCCAAUAGCUGCUUUGGGAAUUAGGUGAUCACAGGCUAUGGCUCUUUGGAGCACCUAUGACUUUGACUCCGGAGUAUUGUGCUACAAUUAUUCAGGGACUUGGCAACUUACAGCUCUCUAUCCACAGGGUUCCCACAGGAGUUCAGAGGAAGCACAGAGGCACCAAUGGACACAGACAUGAGGACCCCGGGUGCAGAGCUAUCUCCAGGGAAGCCUACAACCCCAAAAGGUUGAGAACUCUUGCUCUUGAGAAUCAGGUUCAUGAACACCAGUGAGGCGUAUGGGAAAGGAGCUUGAUGCCAGGGUGCUGAAGAGAUCUGGUGUUUUCCUGUCUGGAGAAGCAGGGAUCUUAUUCCCUCAAAAUGACAUGGUUAUCAUCAGGGUAUGAGUGCCAUUGCUAUUUUGGGGACUACUACAUCCCCUCUCCAGCCAUGGCUAAUGAAACCAUACCCCGAUCUCAGACGACCCGGCAGAAAAAGGUUUAAUUGCAUGCUUAGCAGUUGCAGAAUGGUGGGAGAGUGCACAUUUGGCAUGCUGAAGGGGGCAAGAUGCUGACAUAAUUGUUUGGAUGCCAAUGUGCCACCAUGUUAUUCUGGCAUGCUGUGAUCUACACAACAUCUGAGAGGCUACAAAGAAUAUUUCUGCAUGGAGUGCUCUCAAGACACCAACAAUUUGCAGGCCUGAUACAGAUAAUCAGAAAGUGCAUUUAUCACUGGCUCUGGGACUAGGAAACCAAGGGAAAUAAGGGACGUCUUGUGUGCCCACUUCCUGGCCAUGCAGGUUGGUGCGGAUGAGAUGUGAUGCUAUGAUGGCAGCCUGUGAUGAGGGAUUGUAAUGCA